rnacentral:misc_RNA from 1 species
AAAUAAUAUAAAAUUAUUAAUUUAUCAUCUACUAUUCCUUACUUCCAAAUAAAAAUAUUAUCUCCUCAACUCCUCCCAAACAUAUUAUUAACAUUUCCCGGCUCCAACCUAGGAUGGAAAGACCUCAGUGCUCACCCACAACUAUGCUCAUACGAAAUUAAACCAGAGUUCAAACCUCAACACUAGGAAAAAGACUUUUUCCCCCCUCCAAUUAUAAAAACAAUUGGUAUAAAAACAAUUUGGGAGAUUAAAAUUGGCAUUAGAGGCAACAUUUAUGCUUUUGGAGGUCGGUCCACAACAGUCAAUGAGAACUCCCAAGGAAACAGUGAACCACUCUCUACUUUACCCCAGUAGACAGCG